CACUGCAUGGCUGUUGGAUGUGAACCAGAGCUGUCUGCGGAGCUGGCGCCAGCACCCCCGUGACCGCCGGCGCCAAUGACAGAGGCAUCCAGAUUAGUGUCCUCUCUGCCCUGCAUUCCCAGGUCGCAGCCACCCGGCUGUCAGGGCAGGGAAGGCACAUGCUGGCCUCUGGCCGGUCCUAUCCCAACCAUCCUUCUCAAAGAGCAGGCACUUCUCAGCUCCACAGCGGUCAGGACUGUGGUGUUCACAGCACGGAAAGCUGGAGGACUCAUGUCCUGCCUGUCCUCCCACAGCUCUGCCAGGGGACCCAGCAGGGUGGUUCUGGAAACUCAGGGGCUGCUCAGGCUGCACAGAGAGCCUGGAGCCCCUCAAGCCUGUGUGGAGCAGAAGCCUCUGCCUCUGACAACGCCCCAGAGAAGCUCAUGCAUGACAGAGGCCCCACAGCCUUGGAUGUCAUCCAAAGGGAUGUUGUUGGAAAGGCUGCACCAUGGCAGGGGGUUUGACGCUGACUCCUGCUCCCCCUUCCCCUGUGGCUCUUCUCACCUCCACCUGCACCUCGGUCCCCUGUCUACCGAGGGAGCCUCCAUCACAAGGACAGUUGAAGAACUCACAGAGAGAAAGGGGACCUGGGUGGACCCAGGAGAGGACAGGAUACCAAAUGUACCCCUGCCCCAGGGAGUCAGGACCUCGGAGCCAAGUGUCGGUGGAGAAGCAGCUGGGCCACAGCAUUGAGCACUCAACCUGCAGCCAGGAUCCUUCACUAGUAAAGAAACUGGUACCCGGAUGCUUGCGGCUAAGAGACCAGCAGGAAGGUGGGAGGAGAGCUGGACUGGGCAUUUCACCUGGUUGAAGCCAAAAGCAGUGGAAAUACAUUAGCACUGUGGAAGAUGUGGAAUUCUGGCAUCUCACUGUCUGCAUGGUCAGCCCCAGAAUAAAUUAUCAAUGGUGGCCAAGUGAUGACUGGGUGCUUUUGAGCGGGGAAACGGCUCUUGCUACAAAAUCCAAAUGAAAGGCAUGAAGAAUCCCAGGACUGCCAGGUGUGCGUGCUGCUUCUAACUGCCCUGGACAGCUUAAAGUGGGAAUAACACACUCAGUCCUGGCAGGGCUCUCUGCCACUCUACAUAAAGUGUGAGUAUCUCUUCUCUCCUGCAGCCACCAGCCUGAGAUAUCCCUGGACCAAAAAAGCAGUCUGACUCCAGCAAUCUGCAGACUGGCAUGUUACAAAGCCACAAGGAUGUGUUGUUUUCUAGCUCCUUGAGUGACAGUCAGAGUACAGUUUGGGAGAGAGCGGGACCCUCGCCACAGGAGUGGGAACACGUUGUGGGCUCACAAUCCCACUGAGCCCUCACUUCUCUCCCUGGCUGCUUCAGGCUGUUAUGCCUUCCCCAGCGAGUCACCCUGUAGAGUGAGGCAUGCUCUGCUCAUGCCCACCCUGCCCCUUUCCCUGCCUUCAGGCCGACGAGCAGAGUCAGACCCCAGCAUGGCCAGGGGAACUGAUCACAAGUGAAACCACCGAGGAAGACUCAUACUUCAGAGAAGGAUGACUGUGCCAACACACACCAGCAAAAACCCCAGAGAAUGAUGAGAACGAGUUUGGAACGUCCCCGACCAUGGGGGAAGAGCAUCACCCCACCCCAGGCUGCUGUGGGUGCGCCUGCCAUGCUGGAGUUCGAGAGUCAACAGGUGAGCUGUUGCUUCCCUGAAGCCUCAGCUUGAUAAUGGGCCCACAAGGUGAAACUGAAAAGCCAAAAUCCCCUGAAGGAAUCCAAAUAUCCAAAGGGAUACAGUGUUGAUGGAGACCCAUCAGAAACAACCAGUAUGUGCAGUGUCCCUAACCAUGUCUUCAGAGGAGCCAAAAAGACCUGCACCAGCCUGAAGCACCAAGAAACACUUAGGAAGGAGAACGCCAUCAGCUUGGAAUAUUGCCACAGACACUGCUCUCUGUCAGCUAGAGAUGCUGAUGGGAGACCUUCUCAUUGGUGGAAACUCUACAGGUGAGAACCGUGAGGCCAGCAUGGGCCAGCACGACAGAGGAUGGGAGGAAGCAUUCAGGUGCCGGCAGCCAGAGGGGCACCAGGAUGUUCUAUGCUGAGGCUCCUUGGCACUGAUGACUCACUCAUGGCACUGCCAGGACUGAAAUCCACAGGUAAUGCCAAUAGAGUCCUAUUUGAUGUGUGUAACAUUAAUAGAAAUGUGAAAAAACCAACUUUUAAAAACUAGAUCUGUAGGCAGGAGUCUACUAUGAGUGCCUAGAACAAUAUCUGGUGCUUAGUAGGUGUUCAACAAAUAUUUACUGACUGAAUAAACUCCAUUGCCCCUUGCCCAAUUCCCAGAUUUCACUCAAUAGACACAAAGCUCCUUGAGUUGUGGGGAGGCUGGUCACCUGUGUAACAGCACAGGCUUAUGCUGUGAAUCUUCCAGAGCUCCUGGACAGAGAAGCACCUGGACCUCCCAGCAUCUCUGAGGGCUGAUUCUGAGCUGACACUAUUCCUGGCGACCCACCACCAGGAGGGAGGCUUGCUGGAGGCAGCGGUACGCAGGCCAUGAUGAGAGCUGUGCCCUAGGUCCACCUCAUGGCAGCCCACUGGAAUUGCAAACCUGUCCUGUGGCAAUUCCCCCAGCUCCCAAGUGCUCAGGUGACAAACACACGCCAACACCUGGCAGGAACUCUAUCCUGGCUCCCUGGGCCAUAGUGUGGAGGCUUCUGCAGUGGGAGAGACUAACUGGAAGGCUCUGCAACACCCGCGCCUUCAAAAUAGGGGCUCGUUAGCAAAGCUUCAUCCCCGGAGACUGAGGAACCGCCAGCACUCAAAGCAGGAGACGCUGCCGCAUCCCCUCACCUGCCAGGACGCCACCUCCGGUGUGCACGUCGGAAAGUGGGGAGCAACAAGGGUGUCCCCACCCACCCGGUGCCCAGGGGACCGCCCGGGGCGCCCCGGCCAGCGCAGGCUGUGCUCCGCCCCACCCGCGCAGUGCGCCGCGAACCCGACCCCGAGCCCGGACGUCUGCUCUUACCUUGAAGAAGCUCCGGAGGAAGUGCACGACGCUGAGCAUGGUGGCCGCCAGGGCGCCCGGAGCCCGCCAGCAGCAUGACUAGCCGGGCCGCCGAGCCGGCUUC